GACAGAGGGUGCAAACGUUGUUCGGAAUUACUGGGCGUAAAGCGUGUGUAGGCGGCCCAAUAAGUCAGGUGUGAAAGCCCCGGGCUCAACCCGGGAAGUGCACUUGAUACUGUUGGGCUUGAGUACUGGAGAGGUUGGUGGAAUUCUCGGUGUAGAGGUGAAAUUCGUAGAUAUCGAGAGGAACACCGGUGGCGAAGGCGGCCAACUGGACAGAUACUGACGCUGAGACACGAAAGCGUGGGGAGCAAACAGG
rnacentral:rRNA from 1 species